rnacentral:rRNA from 1 species
UUGACCUCGGAUCAGGUAGGGAUACCCGCUGAACUUAAGCAUAUCAAUAAGCGGAGGAAAAGAAACCAACAGGGAUUGCCCUAGUAACGGCGAGUGAAGCGGCAACAGCUCAAAUUUGA